AGACCUGCCCGGUGAAUAUUUAUUUAAACGGCCGCGGUAUUUUGACCGUGCAAAGGUAGCAUAAUCAAUUGUCUUAUAAUUGAAGACUGGAAUGAAUGGUUAAACGAAAUUAGAGCUGUUUCAUUUGUAUUUAUUAGAAAUUGGCUUUUAAAUGAAGAGAUUUAAAUUUGAUUAAGGGACAAGAAGACCCUAUUGAGCUUUAAAUAAUUUUAAGGGUUAAAGUUAUUAUAAAGAUUUAUGAUCUUUAGUAUUUUUUAGUUGGGGCGACUAAGGAACAAAUAAAGCUUCCUUUAUUUAUUUAAUUGAUAGAUUUUGAUCCUGUAUUACUGAUUAAGAGAAAUAGUUACCAUAGGGAUAACAGCAUAAUCUUCUUGGAGAGUUCUUAUUAAAAAGGGGGGUUGUGACCUCGAUGUUGGACUAAAAUAUCCUAAGGGUGUAGAAGCUUUUAAGGGUUGGUCUGUUCG
rnacentral:rRNA from 1 species